rnacentral:rRNA from 1 species
UACGGGGGGGGGCAAGCGUUGUUCGGAAUUACUGGGCGUAAAGGGCUCGUAGGCGGCCAACUAAGUCAGACGUGAAAUCCCCAGGCUCAACCUGGGAACUGCGUCUGAUACUGGAUGGCUUGAAUCCGGGAGAGGGAUGCAGAAUUCCAGGUGUAGCGGUGAAAUGCGUAGAUAUCUGGAGGAAUACCGGUGGCGAAGGCGGCAUCCUGGACCGGCAUUGACGCUGAGGAGCGAAAGCGUGGGGAGCGAACAGG